rfam:Sus scrofa isolate TJ Tabasco breed Duroc chromosome 1, whole genome shotgun sequence.
UCCCUGGUGGUUCAGUGGGUUGAGGAUUCAGCAUUGUCAUUGCUGUGGCUUGGGUUGGAUCCCUGACCUGGGAA